rnacentral:rRNA from 1 species
GGGCCCGCACAAGCAGUGGAGUAUGUGGUUUAAUUCGAAGCAACGCGAAGAACCUUACCAGGGCUUGACAUGCAGUGGAAUGCGGCAGAGAUGUCGCAGCCUUCGGGCCGCUGCACAGGUGGUGCAUGGUUGUCGUCAGCUCGUGUCGUGAGAUGUUGGGUUAAGUCCCGCAACGAGCGCAACCCUUGUCGUUAGUUGCCAGCAUUAAGUUGGGCACUCUAGCGAGACUGCCGGUGACAAAUCGGAGGAAGGUGGGGACGACGUCAAAUCAUCAUGCCCCUUAUGUCCUGGGCUACACACGUACUACAAUGGCUAUAACAACGGGGAGCUAAGGAGCAAUCCGGAGCAAAUCCUACAAAAAUAGUCCCAGUUCAGAUUGUGGGCUGCAACCCGCCCACAUGAAGUCGGAAUUGCUAGUAAUGGCAGGUCAGCAUACUG